rnacentral:rRNA from 1 species
ACGAACGCUGGCGGCGUGCCUAAUACAUGCAAGUCGAACGCAUUUUCUUUCACCGUAGCUUGCUACACCGAAAGAAAAUGAGUGGCGAACGGGUGAGUAACACGUGGGUAACCUGCCCAUCAGCGGGGGAUAACACUUGGAAACAGGUGCUAAUACCGCAUAAUUCCAUUUACCGCAUGGUAGAUGGGUGAAAGGCGCUUUUGCGUCACUGAUGGAUGGACCCGCGGUGCAUUAGCUAGUUGGUGGGGUAACGGCCUACCAAGGCUGCGAUGCAUAGCCGACCUGGGAGGGUGAUCGGCCACACUGGGACUGAGACACGGCCCAGACUCCUACGGGAGGCAGCAGGAGGGAAUCUUCGGCAAAGGACGCAAGGCUGACCGAGCAACGCCGCGUGAGUGAAGAAGGGUUUCGGAUCGUAAAACUCUGUUGUUAGAGAAGAACAAGGAUGAGAGUGGAAAGUUCAUCCCUUGACGGUAUCUAACCAGAAAGCCACGGCUAACUACGUG